CCUACGGGAGGCUGCAGUGGGGAAUAUUGCACAAUGGGCGCAAGCCUGAUGCAGCCAUGCCGCGUGUGUGAAGAAGGCCUUCGGGUUGUAAAGCACUUUCAGCGGGGAGGAAGGCGUUAAGGUUAAUAACCUUGGCGAUUGACGUUACCCGCAGAAGAAGCACCGGCUAACUCCGUGCCAGCAGCCGCGGUAAUACGGAGGGUGCAAGCGUUAAUCGGAAUUACUGGGCGUAAAGCGCACGCAGGCGGUCUGUCAAGUCGGAUGUGAAAUCCCCGGGCUCAACCUGGGAACUGCAUUCGAAACUGGCAGGCUAGAGUCCUGUAGAGGGGGGUAGAAUUCCAGGUGUAGCGGUGAAAUGCGUAGAGAUCUGGAGGAAUACCGGUGGCGAAGGCGGCCCCCUGGACAAAGACUGACGCUCAGGUGCGAAAGCGUGGGGAGCAAACAGGAUUAGAUACCCGUGUAGUC
rnacentral:rRNA from 1 species